rnacentral:rRNA from 1 species
UACGGAGGGUGCAAGCGUUAUCCGGAUUUACUGGGUUUAAAGGGUGCGUAGGUGGGUCUGUAAGUCAGUGGUGAAAUCUCCGGGCUUAACCCGGAAACUGCCAUUGAUACUAUAGGUCUUGAAUAUCCUGGAGGUGAGCGGAAUAUGUCAUGUAGCGGUGAAAUACUUAGAUAUGACAUAGAACACCAAUUGCGAAGGCAGCUCACUACGGGAUUAUUGACACUGAGGCACGAAAGCGUGGGGAUCAAACAGG